UAUGCAAAAUUGAGGCGGGAGGACUUCCCUCUCUUUUUUUCGUUUUCUGUUGAAUCCUUCUCCCUCUUUUGUCCCAAGCCCUUUCCCAAUUCCACCAUAUGCUUCAACCAAAGCACCGAAGUAUGAGUGUCUGGCCUUCCCUCGACCAAAAAUUAGGGCUUGAAAUGGGGCGAGGGCCUAAUAUUGAGUUCCUUAAAUUGCUGAUCAAAGCAGCAUCUAGAAUUCAAUUGGAUGCAGCAUUAUGCUAAUGAGGAGCUAUUUUCUCUAACUUCAAUCAAGGAAGGAUAAAGUUCUCCAACAACAGGAAUCAAACUCAACCACAGACUAGUAGGAGUUUGAAGGCAAAGGGAUAGUUUGGAGACAUUUUAUGUUAUUUUUGGGUCAUGUAUAUAUACAAAAAAAAAUGUAUUGUAAUGUAUAUUUGAAUACCUUGUGUUGUUUGACUUUUUAGCAAUGAAAAGUUCUUAUAUACUUUUAUUUCUUGUAACUGCCUUAUUGACUAUAAAUUAACUUUGUAUUUUAUAACAACUGUAAUUGUCAUUAAUCAUGAUAAUUUAUAGUGACAAUUUUAUUUUGUCAU